rnacentral:rRNA from 1 species
UACGUAGGGUGCGAGCGUUGUCCGGAAUUAUUGGGCGUAAAGGGCUCGUAGGCGGUUUGUCGCGUCGGGAGUGAAAACCUUGGGCUUAACUCAGGGCUUGCUUUCGAUACGGGCAGACUAGAGGUAUGCAGGGGAGAACGGAAUUCCUGGUGUAGCGGUGAAAUGCGCAGAUAUCUGGAGGAACACCGGUGGCGAAGGCGGAUCUCUGGGCCUUACCUGACGCUGAGGCGCGAAAGCUAGGGGAGCGAACAGG